CGAGCACCAGGAGCAGGUGGGUGAGCAAAACGGAGUGGCACGGGAGGCACAAAGUCACACUGUGUCCCCAUGGCCAGGUGGCAGACUGCCCUGCAGCUCUCCUCGCAUGGGGGACGUGCUGGGCAGGGGAAGAUGGGCAGCACCCAGUUCCCAACACAGGCUCCACCUCAGCCCCCAGCCCAAGGGACGUGCUGGGCACGUUUUCCUCCUGUGCUGUUGUGUCACAUUCCUUUGUGCCCAUCAGAGAUGUGCAGUAAGAAAGGCCCAAGUGGCCAAAUGUUGCUCCAUGUGGAACAUGGUGGUGUUGCACACAUUGAAUGGAAACUUCUCUCAUCUGUUUGUGAUUCUAGAUGACUACACCGGUUCUGUUAAUGCGGUUGCCUGGUCGGACUCGGCUUUUGUUCCUGAGGUGGAACCCAGAGAUGUGAGUGGAGGUGAAUGGGAUGCAGAAUCCCAGCCGGCUCCCAGGAUGGAAGCUAUAGCAGAUGGCAUGGAAGUGCCUCCAGAGAGGGCCGUGCAAAACUCACAGCUGCGUCCCACGCCGGAGCCCCGCUGGUAUCCCAGGGGUCCUGCGAGACAGAGAGGGAAACUGGGACGAGAAAGAGAUUCGCUGCGGUUUUAUCAUGCUCUCAAGGCAGUGACGGAGGACAACGAAGUGCCUGAGUUCAAUGGAGAGCCUGUGGACGGGGCUGUGUUUGAGGAGGGCAGCAGCCACACACUGCCCAUCUCCCGUGAAGGCACAGAGGACGUGCAAGUAGCUGGCGCUUCAGGUGCACACAGUGAACAAGCUGGGAAUGGGGUCCACGUGAACGACCUCCCCAUGUUCUGCUUGAAAGGUGCUAUUGCCGUGUUUGUUCCUAUUCUGCUGAUAAUAAUUGUGUGCUGCAUUUACAUCCGGCGGCGGAGGAAGAAACACCAGCGCCUCACUGAAGCUGCCAAAGCCCGGUGUGCUGCCUACGAAGACUCAGAGUAUGCGGACAGACAGACUUGGCACCAGCGGCCUCCACGUGUGUCAGGACGUUCUGCCCGGGGGCUGCAGAGCCCCAACACAUCGCCGCCCCCCAGGCCCAAGAGUGCCCCGUCUCGGCUGCCCCCGCCGCGGCCCCCAAGGCCCAGAAGCCCCCAGCCCCGCUGGGCACCACCACCGCCACCGCCACCGCCCCCAUCCUUCAGGGGAUGGUAGCAGUUUCCCUGGGGUCAGGGAACCACGUCCCACUCCUGCACAACCGCUGGUUCCAUCAGCUGUGGCUGUCCAGGUUUGUGCUGCAGCAAUAAAGAACAUUAAGAAAGAACUGUGUUGGCUGUGUCCCAUUGGGGUGCGCUGUCCCAGAACACAUCCAAGAGUCGCCUGUUUAGAGAGGAGACCUUGCUUUGUCUGCGCUGCGCAGGACACAGGGUGGGAAAUCCCUCCAACGAGCGCGUCGUGUCCUCAGCUUGGCUUCUGUUCAGAGUGAGAAGUUUCCACGCUACACCUGCCUCGUGCGUAAGUCACGGUGACCUCGUGUGUAUUUGGGGUGAUGGAGCAGAUCUUCCUGGAAGAGAUGUGGAGGCAGCUGAGGGAUGGAGAAGCGAUCCUGGACAGCCAGCAGGGCGGCACCGAGGGCAGAUCGUGCCUGAGCCACGCGGUGGCUUUUUGUGAUGCAGAGAUGGCACUGAUGGACUCCAGGGGGGCAACUGAUGUCAUCUGCCUGGACUUGAGCAAGGCCUUCGAUGUGGUCCCGCACCACUUCCUUCCCUCUGACUCAGAGGGAGGUGGGUUCAAAGGAUGGGCUGUGGGGUGGGCGUUCAACAAAGCCGAGGGGGUGCGUUCAGAGGGGGAGUUGAUCUGGAUAGGUUGGACAGCCGGGCUGAAGCCAAUGGGAUGGGAUUCAACAAGACCAACUGCCGGGUCCUGCACUUUGGCCGCAAUAACCCCAGGCAACGCUACAGGCUUGGGGCAGAGUGGCUGGAAGACUGUGUAGAGGAAAUGGGCCUGGGGGUGUUGACUGACGCCAGACUGAACAUGAGCCAGCAGUGUGCCCAGGUGGCCAAGAAGGCCAACGGCAUCCUGGCUUGUAUCAGAAACAGUGUGGCCAGCAGGAACAGGGAGGUAAUUGUCCCCCUGUACUCAGCAGUGGUGAGGCCGCACCUCGAGUGCUGUGUCCACUUUUGGGCCCCUCACUGUAAAAAAGAUAUGGAGGCCCUGCAGCGUGUCCAGAGGAGGGCAACACAGCUGGUGAGGGCUCUGGAGCACAGACCUUAUGAGGAGCGGCUGAAGGAGCUGGGGUUGGUCAGUCUGGAGAAGAGGAGGCUCAGGGGAGGCCUUAUUGCUCUGUGUAACUGCCUGAAGGGAGGCUGUAGUGAGCUGCGUGUCGGCCUCUUCUGUCGGGUGACAGUGAUAGGAUGAGAGGGAAUGGCUUCAAGCUGCGUCAGGGAAGAUUCAGGCUGGACGUUAGGAAAUACUACUUCUCUGAAAGGGUGGUCAGGCACUGCAAUGGGCUGCCCAGAGAGGUGGUGGAGUCACCCAACCUGGUGGUGUUCAAAGAGCGUAUGGAUGUUGUGUUGAGGGACAUGGUUUGGCGGGAACCAUUGGUGAAGGACGGAUGGUUGGACUGGAUGGUCCUGUGGGUCUUUUCCAACCUUAGCGAUUCUAUGAUUCUAUGAUUUGCCUCUUGCAUGCCCUACAUCGACCCAAAUGAGAAGAGGAAACGGUUUUCUCCAGCUGCUUCGCUCAGAGGCUGCAGCACCUCUGCUAUGGAGAAAGAAUCAUACAAUCAUAGAAUUACUCAGGUUGGAAAGGACCUCAGAGAUCAUCAGGUCCAAGCGCAGCCUAACCAUAGUCCCCUAACUCUAACAACCCUCCGCUAAAUCAUAUCUCCGAGCACCACAUCCAAACGGCUCUUCAACACAUCCAGGGACGGUGACUCAACCACCUCCCUGGGGAGCCUAUCCCAGUGCUUCACCACCCUUUCUGUAAAGAACUGUUUCCUAACGUCCAUCCUAAA
rnacentral:lncRNA from 1 species